rnacentral:rRNA from 1 species
CCUACGGGAGGCAGCAGUAGGGAAUAUUGCUCAAUGGGGGAAACCCUGAAGCAGCAACGCCGCGUGGAGGAUGAAGGUUUUCGGAUUGUAAACUCCUUUUGUUAGAGAAGAUAAUGACGGUACCUAACGAAUAAGCACCGGCUAACUCCGUGCCAGCAGCCGCGGUAAUACGGAGGGUGCAAGCGUUACCCGGAAUCACUGGGCUUAAAGAGCGCGUAGGCGGGAUAGCAAGUCAGAUGUGAAAUCCUAUGGCUUAACCAUAGAACUGCAUUUGAAACUGUUAUUCUAGAGUAUGGGAGAGGUAGGUGGAAUUCUUGGUGUAGGGGUAAAAUGCGUAGAGAUCAAGAGGAAUACUGAUUGCGAAGGCGACCUGCUAGAACAUAACUGACGCUGAUGCGCGAAAGCGUGGGGAGCAAACAGGAUUAGAUACCCGGGUAGUC